rnacentral:lncRNA from 1 species
CAUAAAACAAAUUAACACAAGUGUGCGUAGUAUACUAGGGUAAUUACCAUUUAAUUAAGAAGAAAACCACGGCCAUGAAUCUGAUCAUAACUUGAACUCCAAUUUUUUUUAAGCGAGGACCGAUUAUAUUAAAAAAUGAUGAAGUCAAAAAAAAUACUACAAACACCGACAGGCAGCACAUGCCACACCACACCAUUUCACUUAACUCAACUCAACAACAC